AUUGAACGCUGGCGGCAGGCCUAACACAUGCAAGUCGAACGCGUGGCGGACGGGUGAGUAAUGUCUGGGAAUCUGCCUGAUGGAGGGGGAUCACUACUGGACACGGUAGCUAAUACCGCAUUCUCUCAGGUGUCCCCAGAUGGGAUUAGCUAGUUGGUGGGGUAACGGCUCACCAAGGCGACGAGCCCUAGCUGGUCUGAGAGGAUGACCAGCCAGACUGGAACUGAGACACGGUCCAGACUCCUACGGGAGGCAGCAGUGGGGAAUAUUGCACAAUGGGCGCAAGCCUGAUACAGCCAUGCCGCGUGUAUGAAGAAGGCCUUCGGGUUGUAAAGUACUUUCAGCGGGGAGGCGUUACCCGCAGAAGAAGCACCGGCUAACUCCGUGCCAGCAGCCGCGGUAAUAC
rnacentral:rRNA from 1 species